CUCAUUGAGAUGAGAUCUCAAGUCCAUUUGUGAAUUUGAGUAGUUAUUAUAGAAUAGACAGAAGAAACCUUAAAGAUGAUCUUCUCCAACUCUUACCUGAAGCAUAAACUACUGGAUUAUCUCUGACAAGUCAUUAUUCAACUUCUACUUGAAUACCUCCAGUGACAUAGAACUCAUUACCUCAUGAAGCAAGUACAUACCAUUUCUGAAGAGCUCUCAUUAAGUCACACAUACCAAAGAUCUGGAUGUGCUGAACACCAAAGGCCUUGGAACUUCCAAAUGGUUCAACAUCAGAAAUAGAUAUGGUUUAUUGGAUCAUAAUCUCCUUGAGGCUCCCUCCUUCCAUGCUAAGGAAUUUACUAACACAAAGCAAAGGCCAACGAGCCCAAAGGAAUAGCAGGCAAAGUCACGCCAGUGGGGACUCACUGGGAUAAGCCAGCUCUGGACACAAGAGGUUGGACUUUUCAUUUUGUUCUCCAUUCCUAUUUCAUCUUCCACAGACACCCAUCAUGCUCAAUAGAACCCAAGGAUGGGGAAGAAAAAGGUCACUCUGGCUAACAGUGUCUGCAAGUGGCCACAUCUAUCUCCCUGUCCGCUCUUCUGCCUCCACCAAGCCUACCACCAAACAUUUUCCAUCUGAAACUCCUUCUCCUUCCCAGGUCAGCCUUCUAUUCCAUAGGAUUACCAGAAGGCUAUAAGAUCAUCCUGGAAGCUGGAGAGAUUUGGACUUGCUUUAGACUAAUCUAUCUAGUUUUAUGAAUUGAAAAAUUGAGGCCUUAAAGAGGCAAAAAUGACUUGUCUAGGGAUAGAGAGAAAAGGAAUAAGUAAAAUUAAAAUCCAAAGCCAGAUCUUCUGACCAUAAAAACCUUGUUCUUCCUACUACAUCCUGACUAAUAUUAAAGUUAUCUUUUAAAAAAUUA